UACGUAGGGAGCGAGCGUUGUUCGGAAUUAUUGGGCGUAAAGAGUGUGUAGGCGGUGAUCUAAGUUCGGUGUGAAAUCUCUCGGCUUAACUGGGAGGGUGCGCCGAAAACUGGAGUGCUCGAACGUGGGAGAGGAAAGCGGAAUUCCUGGUGUAGCGGUGAAAUGCGUAGAUAUCAGGAGGAACACCUGCGGUGUAGACGGCUUUCUGGACCAUUGUUGACGCUGAGACACGAAAGCGUGGGUAGCAAACAGG
rnacentral:rRNA from 1 species